rnacentral:lncRNA from 1 species
GCAAGCUGCCUUUCCCUUUACUGUCUUCCUUUCUAGUCCAGAGCUAAAGUUGUCUGCUCCUCUCUUAAGUCAAGGGACUGACACCCAGGUCUUCCUUUUGGCUUCCAAGAGAGUGACAAGGUGAUCAAAGAAGAGGGUGGCCAGAAAAAGGAGUCGAAAGGGAAUAUACAAAAGAAAACAAAGAAGCAUACUGAUCUGAAGACGGUUGGGAGUUUUGUGUUAUCUGUUCUUCUCUGCCUUCAGUAGCCCCAGAGCGACGUCUCUGAGUGAAAAUUCCGACUGAUUACCAGCCACAGCUCCACACUGGGUGACGUCCUUCAGCAAAGCAUCGCGAGUUUUCCUGCUCAUUCCCAUGCCUGAAUGGUUCCUACGCACCACUACUGGGCAGUCAGUGUUGAGGGAAGCCUGCCUUUCUCACUUUCCAAGGCCUCCUGAAUAAAGGGCGCAAGAGGCAGGCUCCUGGCUGGAAAACCAGUGCUGUUUCCAUCACACACUUCCUUCCAUUGGGUGAAUGUAACUUGCACCAGGCAGUGACUUGGUACAUGGAAGAAGGACUGAUUUCAGCACCUACUCCUCUCCUCAGCAACUUCCUUUGUCCUGACACAUGACAGCCUUGGAGGAUGUUAUUAAGACCCAGGAAAAUGAAGGGACCAGCCAGAGAUGACACAGAUCAUGAGACUCAUCAGUGAGAGUGUGGAACCCAAACUCCCAACUCCCAAGAUGCUGUUCUUUGUCCACUUUGUCUGUACAACCCCCAGGACAUAGACACAUCUUCUGCUUUCCUUCUGGAAAUGUUGUUCCAUUUCCCUCUAAUUCCUUCUCUAUCUUUUCUUCUUUCCUCUAUUUUGUUACUUUCAUUUCCUUUAUUUUGUUCCCAUUGUGCACUACUGGCAAAACAUGAGAAAAUUAACUUAACAUGCAGGAGGCAAGGUUUCAGUAGGAACUGGAAAAGGAGUUUUAA